UACGUAGGGUGAGAGCGUUGUCCGGAAUUAUUGGGCGUAAAGGGCUCGUAGGCGGUUUGUCGCGUCGGGAGUGAAAUCCACUGGCUUAACUGGUGGCUUGCUUUCGAUACGGGCAGACUGGAGGUAUGCAGGGGAGAACGGAAUUCCUGGUGUAGCGGUGAAAUGCGCAGAUAUCAGGAGGAACACCGGUGGCGAAGGCGGUUCUCUGGGCAUGUCCUGACGCUGAGGAGCGA
rnacentral:rRNA from 1 species